GACGAACGCUGGCGGCGUGCCUAAUACAUGCAAGUCGAACGCUGAAGGAAGGAGCUUGCUCUUUCUGGAUGAGUUGCGAACGGGUGAGUAACGCGUAGGUAACCUGCCUGGUAGCGGGGGAUAACUAUUGGAAACGAUAGCUAAUACCGCAUAAAAUUGAUUAUUGCAUGAUAGUCAAUUAAAAGGUGCAACUGCACCACUACCAGAUGGACCUGCGUUGUAUUAGCUAGUUGGUGGGGUAACGGCUCACCAAGGCGACGAUACAUAGCCGACCUGAGAGGGUGAUCGGCCACACUGGGACUGAGACACGGCCCAGACUCCUACGGGAGGCAGCAGUAGGGAAUCUUCGGCAAUGGACGGAAGUCUGACCGAGCAACGCCGCGUGAGUGAAGAAGGUUUUCGGAUCGUAAAGCUCUGUUGUAAGAGAAGAACGAGUGUGAGAGUGGAAAGUUCACACUGUGACGGUAGCUUACCAGAAAGGGACGGCUAACUACGUG
rnacentral:rRNA from 1 species